CUAUGAUUGAAUUAACCAUGCCUUUUUCUUUUGGAUUCAAAUUUUCUUCUAUCCUGUCAUCUCAUAUUGUUGUGCUCACCAUGGAUUGGAUCCUUUCCCUUACCACGUACAAUUUUUGGAUGGCCCAUGGACAUCAGGUCAGAGCAGACAAAUUAUACCCAUCAGCGCUGGUCAAGAUUCUCCCACUCCAUGCCAACGUUGUUUCUGGUCUGUUGCUAUAAUUGUUCCAUUGGCUAGAUCAAAUAUAUUUCUUAUAUAGUGCAAAUAUAAUGAGUGGAUUAUUGUUUUUACUCUCUUCUCUCAAAUUAAUAUUGGUGGAUUUGGCAGCAGCUUCCCUCGACACUAACCAAGUGUAUAACGUUUAAAACAGUGGUGUGCGACAUGAUGAUGCAAUAAACCCCAAUUAAUGGAGGAGGUGAUUUGCCAACACAAACAUGGUACUAUGAGUCGUCAUUGUAGUCUGUUGGUUUAGUUGCAUUAUAUGACACUAUGUUGGCUUAGCUGCAUGUAUAACUCUAUGAUGUUACUAAUCCGUGCAAGUUACACUCAAUCCAAUAUUCGCUUGACCGCCAUCGCUGUUGGCCACCGUCGUGAUGGCGAGUUUAUCACUCUGCUACUUCUUUGCUGGAACGCCAUCAUUGCAUGGCCGUUCGACAUGAAAUGCCAAUGAAAAGGCACGUGCGCUCACUACAUUAUUCCAAGCUUCCCAUCACAGGUGUAGUCAGCCCGUAGUGUUCUGGAUCUAGGCGUACAUGUGGCUUGCCAGGGCAUCACGUACAUAUAUUGAUUCCAUACCAGAGUCUGUUGUUUUCAUUCUUCGAUUUUUGUUUUGAUGUUUUCCCAUUGUACUGAUUUUUAUAAUUUGAUAACAAUUAUGUUAGUUUAGGGGAGCAUAAUUUAUUGUUUGGUUUUUAUGUAAGUCAAUUCAAUUCAUUUUGAAUAAGCCUUCAACCUUGACUGUCUCUUAUGUUCUACUUAUAUGUGGAUUGUGUUUCUCGCAUUCUGUGAUCUUCCUGAAUCUUUCAUAGUUUUGUGUUUCUUUAAGGAUUUCAACAGAUUCAUUUUUCCUUUCACAUUGACCAUGAAUAUGCGGUUGAUUUUUUCUCCCCAGAGUUAUUUCAAUUUAAGUUAUGUAUGUUUUCCAUGUUUCCAGUUAUUUCUCUAAGGGCGGCCAGUUGAUUGGUGAGCCCAUAAAUUGCUGUCUAUGGUUGUCUCUAGGUGGCAAAAAUGAUUUCCCCGAGCUAGCAUCAUUGUUGGACAGAGUGCAGUUGGAGACCGAGUUGAAGCAGAACUAUGUAGCAGAGCUAUGCAUGUCAUCAGUCACCAUGUCGCAAAUACGUUGCCUAAUGCAUCGGAGGCUCAUGUUAGACUUGGCCAUUUUCUCCCAAAAAAAUUCAAUCAGACGGUUGUACUACAGAAUUUGCACUGCUUACAAGCAAGGAUUGACCUUCACGUCCGUCCAUGCAUGUUAACUUAGUAAGUUAAUUUAGGUUAAAGUUGUGAUGAA